rnacentral:rRNA from 1 species
AUGAACGCUAGCUACAGGCUUAACACAUGCAAGUCGAGGGGCAGCAUGACCUAGCAAUAGGUUGAUGGCGACCGGCGCACGGGUGAGUAACACGUAUCCAACCUACCGGUUAUUCCGGGAUAGCCUUUCGAAAGAAAGAUUAAUACCGGAUAGUAUAACGAGAAGGCAUCUUUUUGUUAUUAAAGAAUUUCGAUAACCGAUGGGGAUGCGUUCCAUUAGUUUGUUGGCGGGGUAACGGCCCACCAAGACAUCGAUGGAUAGGGGUUCUGAGAGGAAGGUCCCCCACAUUGGAACUGAGACACGGUCCAAACUCCUACGGGAGGCAGCAGUGAGGAAUAUUGGUCAAUGGACGAGAGUCUGAACCAGCCAAGUAGCGUGAAGGAUGACUGCCCUAUGGGUUGUAAACUUCUUUUAUAUGGGAAUAAAGUGAGCCACGUGUGGCUUUUUGUAUGUACCAUACGAAUAAGGAUCGGCUAACUCCGUGCCAGCAGCCGCGGUAAUACGGAGGAUCCGAGCGUUAUCCGGAUUUAUUGGGUUUAAAGGGAGCGUAGGCGGACUAUUAAGUCAGCUGUGAAAGUUUGCGGCUCAACCGUAAAAUUGCAGUUGAUACUGGUCGUCUUGAGUGCAGUAGAGGUAGGCGGAAUUCGUGGUGUAGCGGUGAAAUGCUUAGAUAUCACGAAGAACUCCGAUUGCGAAGGCAGCUUACUGGACUGUAACUGACGCUGAUGCUCGAAAGUGUGGGUAUCAAACAGGAUUAGAUACCCUGGUAGUCCACGCCGUAAACGAUGAGUGCUAGGUGUUGGAUCCUUUCCGGGAUUCAGUGCCGCAGCUAACGCAUUAAGCACUCCGCCUGGGGAGUACGACCGCAAGGUUGAAACUCAAAGGAAUUGACGGGGGCCCGCACAAGCGGUGGAGCAUGUGGUUUAAUUCGAAGCAACGCGAAGAACCUUACCAAGUCUUGACAUCCUGCGACGAUGCUGGAAACAGUAUUUUCCUUCGGGACGCAGAGACAGGUGGUGCAUGGUUGUCGUCAGCUCGUGUCGUGAGAUGUUGGGUUAAGUCCCGCAACGAGCGCAACCCUUAUUGCCAGUUACUACGUUAAGAGGACUCUGGCGAGACUGCCGUUGACAAAACGGAGGAAGGUGGGGAUGACGUCAAAUCAGCACGGCCCUUACGUCCGGGGCUACACACGUGUUACAAUGGGGGGUACAGAAGGCAGCUACACAGCGAUGUGAUGCUAAUCCCAAAAGCCUCUCUCAGUUCGGAUUGGAGUCUGCAACCCGACUCCAUGAAGCUGGAUUCGCUAGUAAUCGCGCAUCAGCCACGGCGCGGUGAAUACGUUCCCGGGCCUUGUACACACCGCCCGUCAAGCCAUGAAAGCCGGGGGUACCUGAAGUCCGUAACCGUAAGGAGCGGCCUAGGGUAAAACUGGUAAUUGGGGCU